rnacentral:rRNA from 1 species
GAUGAACGCUGGCGGCGUGCCUAAUACAUGCAAGUCGAGCGAACAGACGAGGAGCUUGCUCCUCUGACGUUAGCGGCGGACGGGUGAGUAACACGUGGAUAACCUACCUAUAAGACUGGGAUAACUUCGGGAAACCGGAGCUAAUACCGGAUAACAUGUUGAACCGCAUGGCUCAAUAGUGAAAGACGGUCUUGCUGUCACUUAUAGAUGGAUCCGCGCCGCAUUAGCUAGUUGGUAAGGUAACGGCUUACCAAGGCAACGAUGCGUAGCCGACCUGAGAGGGGGAGCGGCCACGCGGGAACUGACACCCGCACCAGACCUAUGCGAGGGGCAGCAGUAGGAACUCUGGCACAAGGGGCGAAAGUGGCACAGAGCAACGCCGCGUGAGUGAAGAAGGUCGGGGGCGCGAAAAACUCUGUUAUGAGGGAAAAACAAAUGUGUAAGUAACUAUGCACGUUGAGAGUAUACCGAAACAGAGAGCCGCCGAACUACGUG